rnacentral:rRNA from 1 species
UACGUAGGAGGCAAGCGUUGUCCGGAAUUACUGGGCGUAAAGCGCGUGUAGGUGGUGGGACAAGUCUGCUGUGAAAGCGCCUGGCUUAACCGGGCGAGGUCGGCGGAAACUGUCCGACUCGAGGACGGUAGAGGGGGGUGGAAUUCCCGGUGUAGUGGUGAAAUGCGUAGAGAUCGGGAGGAACACCAUGUGGCGAAGGCGGCUUUCUGGCCUGUUCUUGACGCUGAGGCGCGAAAGCUAGGGGAGCAAACGGGG